UGAAUACGAGAUGCUACGGCGUCGAAGCAGUCUAUGUCAUACUUCCAAGAAAAGCUUGCACUGUCAUAAACAAAUAAUGCCUGUACCAUAACCGACACAGGUGGGUAGGUAGAGUAUACUAAGGGGCGCGAGAUAACUCUCUCUAAGGAACUCGGCAAAAUGACUCCGUAACUUCGGGAGAAGGAGUGCCUUAUUUAUAAGGUUGCAAUAACAAGAUCCAAGCAACUGUUUACCAAAAACACAGGUCUCCGCUAAGUCGUAAGACGAUGUAUGGGGGCUGACGCCUGCCCAGUGCCAGAAGGUUAAAGAAGUUGGUUAGCAUCCGCGAAGCUGAUAACUGAAGCCCUGGUGAACGGCGGCCGUAACAAUAACGGUCCUAAGGUAGCGAAAUUCCUUGUCGGGUAAGUUCCGACCCGCACGAAAGGCGUAAUGAUUUGGAUACUGUCUCGGAGAGGGGCUCGGUGAAAUAGACUUGUCUGUGAAGAUGCGGACUACCUGCACCAGGACAGAAAGACCCUAUGAAGCUUUACUGUAACCUGAAAUUGAAAUUGGACUUUACUUGCGCAGUAUAGGUGGGAGGCGUUGAGAAUAUUCUUGCGGUAUUAUUGGAGCCAUCAGUGAGAUACCACUCUUGUAAUGUUAGAUUUCUAACUUUGUAUCAUUAUCUGGUCAAAGAACAGUUUCAGGCGGGCAGUUUGACUGGGGCGGUCGCCUCCUAAACGGUAACGGAGGCGCACAAAGGUUUCCUCUGAACGGGUAGAAAUCGUAUCUAGAGUGUAAAGGCAUAAGGAAGCUUGACUGUGAGACCUACAAGUCGAGCAGGGACGAAAGUCGGUCUUAGUGAUCUGACGGUGCUGAGUGGAAAGGCCGUCACUCAACGGAUAAAAGUUACUCUAAGGAUAACAGGCUGAUCUCCCCCAAGAGUUCACAUCGACGGGGAGGUUUGGCACCUCGAUGUCGGCUCAUCGCAUCCUGGGGCGGUAGUACGUCCCAAGGGUUGGGCUGUUCGCCCAUGAAAGCGGUACGCGAGCUGGGUUCAGAACGUCGUGAGACAGUUCGGUCCAUAUCCGGUGUAGGCGUUAGAAUAUUGAGAGGAGCCUUCUUUAGUACGAGAGGACCGAGAAGGACAUACCUCUGGUGUACCAGUUAUCGUGCCAACGGUAAACGCUGGGUAGCUAUGUGUGGAGUGGAUAACCGCUGAAAGCAUCUAAGUGGGAAGCCCACCUCAAGAUAAG
rnacentral:rRNA from 1 species